UUAACUCGUUACUUCCCCUUGUUUAUUUUUUUCUCUCUAGUAUAUAUUUUUCAAAAAAGGAAGGAUGUCAAGGAGACCAAGAUCAUCACCAAGGGUGAAGGCAGACCAUUACAGGCCAACGGAGAUGACGAUGACCACCUUAAGAAAGAUGGAGGAGCGUGGUUUUCGAGCGACGCGGCGGCUCGAACACGGGUCGGAGUCAUAUAUCCAUGAUGCAACCUCCCCUUACUACUCUUGGCUCCUCCCUGGCUGGCUUGCUGAAGAGCGAGUUGUCGAAAGUGGACGUACCUAUAGGUAUUAUUAUGAUCCUGCUGGUCGACAGUAUCGAACCAAAUACGAAGUCUUGGAUCAAUGGGAGAAGCUGGGAAUUGUUGUUAUCGAAGACUAAGGACUCUUGAAGCAACUGAAUUUGUUGAAGUAUUGAAGAUCUAAGCGCUAAUGGCAUUAUCUUUCUUUUAUGUUUAAUUUGAACUACAUGAAGAUGUACCCAGAUUGAGCAAACAUUUAUUUCUCCUUUAUGCUUUACUUA